GUAUCUUAACAAAAUGGACCGAAUUGUCCUCUCUUCUUGAGAAGAUCUUUCAUUAUAUAGGCAAGACUGCCAUCUAUACAAGGAAACUAGAGCUGUACAUGUUAAUGACAUAGAGUAAUCCUAGGAAGCUAUAUAUGGUAAGCUAAGUCUCCUCUCCUAUUUAUAAGAAUAUGAGUGAUCCUAGGAAGCUAUGUAUGGUAAGCUAAAUCUCGUUUCCUAUUUAUAAGAGUAUUACAGCCUAAAUUAAUGGCUUAAUUACAGAAACAAUUUAAUUGUUGACCCCAUUUUUGGCUUUCUAUAGACAUCCCCCCUCAAAUUGAUGCGGGUUAUCUACAAGCAUCAAUUUGUUGGCAAGAAAAUUAUGUCUAUGCUGUGUGAGAGCCUUAGUGAAAAUAUCUGCGACUUGAAGAUUGCUUGACACAUGGGGAAGAGAAAUAGUCUGAGCCUCAAAGGCCUCACUGAUGAAGUGGCAAUCAACCUCGAUAUGUUUAGGGUGCUCAUGGAAGAUGGGAUUGGCAGAAAUGUGAAUCGCACUAGUAUUAUCUGCAUGAAGAGGAGUAGGACUGUGCUGAGCAAAACCAAGCUCAGCCAAUAGACUGCGAAGCCACUGUAUCUCAGCACAAGUUUGGGACAUAGCUCUAUAUUUGGACUCAGUAGAAGAGUUAGAAACACGAUCUUGUUUCUUGCUUUUCUAGGAAAUAAGGGCUGGACCAAGAAACAUACACCAUCCCGUAGUAGAACACCUAGUGUCACUACACCGGGCAUAAUCAGCAUUGCUAUAUGCCAUAAGAUCAAGUGAGGUAGCAGCCAGAUAGAAAAGGCCUUGGAAAUUUAUGCCAUUAACAUAGCGAAUUAUUCUUCGAACUGCAGCCAUAUGUAGGUGCCUAGGAGAAGCUAUGAACUGACUAACCUGUUAAACCGCAUAAGAGAUAUCAGGUCUAGUGAUGGUAAGAUAGACCAGGCAGCCAACUAGAGUACGAUAGGCUGCAGGGUCUGAUAAUAAGUUACCUUCAUCUUUGCGCAGCUUGAGAUUAAGUUCCAUAAGAGUAGCAAGAGGAGUAGAGUCUUGGAGACUAGCAGCCAUCACCAAGUCCUAAGCAUACUUAUGCUGAGACAAAAAGAUACCAUGCAAACCCGUAGUAAUUUCUAUACCAAGAAAGUAUAUGAGAGAACCCAGGUCCUUCAUGAAAAAUAAGUCUUGUAAAUGUUGCUUUAGUUGAGAUAUUAGAAUUGAAUCAAUACCUGUGAUGAUUAUGUUAUCGACAUAAACUAAGAGAAUGACAAUGCCAAGCUCAGUUCGGCGAAGAAACAAAGAUGCAUGAUACUUGCUUUUGAAAAAAUCAAACUUGAGUAAGGUGAGUUAAAUUUCUCGUACCAUGCACGAGGGGCCUGCCAUAGACCAUAUAAGGAGCGUCUCAAUUUGCACACUGCAGAAGUAGAGUUAGAAAUUAAACCAGCCAGAGGAUGCAUAUAAACUUCUUCCUUGAGAUCGCCGUGAAGAAAGGCGUAUUUCACAUCCAUUUGGUGCAAACUCCAAGUUUGUGAAGCAACAAUAGCUAAAAUUAUGCGAAUAGUAGUCAUUUUUGCUACCGGAGCAAAAGUCUCAUCGUAAUUAACUCCAUAUUCUUAAUUAUUGCCAAGAGCUACUAAUCGGGCCUUAUACCUAUCCAAACUCCCAUCAGAUUUGACCUUAAUCGAAUAUAUCCAUUUACAUCCAAGUGGAGUCACACCAGCAGGACAAUCAACCACUUCCCAAAUCUCAUUAGCUUCAAGAGUACAUAUUUCUUCCUGCAUGGCCUGCUGCCAGCAUUUCUCUUUGAUUGCCUUUGAGUAACUAGUAGGAAUAGUAAUAGAAGAUAUAGUGGCAGAGAGGACAGAAGUAGAGGUGCCUAUCUUAGAUGAUGGGAAUCCAUAUCGAUCAGGUGGAUCAAUAACUCUAGAUGAGCGAUAUAAGGGAGCAGAUGGCACGACAGGUGCGGAAGGGGGCAGCACUAGAGGUCUGUGCUGAUAUACUGUACUUGGCUUGAACCUUUCAACUUGAGUACUAGGAGCACUAGAAGGGUCAUCAAAAGAAAGCAGUAAUUCAAAAAAAGGCUUUGGUGAUUGAGACAUAGGAAAAAACCAUUGAUUUUCAAAAAAAUAACACAUUUCUCGAGACAUGAACACGAUAGGAGUUUGGAUCAUGGCAUAGAUAACCUUUUUGUGUGACACUAUACCCUAAGAAGGCACAACAGACAGAUUGGGCAGAUAAUUUAUUUUUGUCCGAUGGAGGAAGAUUGAACAAGAUGCAUAAAACAAACACACCCAAAAGUGUAAAGAUUUGUAUAAGUAGGAUGGUGAUGAUGAAGUCUGAAAUUUGGGGACUCAAAAUCCCAAACUUGGGAAGGGAGUCUAUUUAAAAGAAAGGUUGUUGUGGUGAGUGCUUCUACCCAAAACUUAGAAGGAAAAGAUGACGACUCUUUCAUUCAACUACUCCGUUUUGUUGCGGAGAACAAGAAUGUUGAGAAAUAAUCCCUUUAGUUUGCAGAAAAGAUUGGAAUUCAUGAGACAUAUAUUCCCCACCUGAGUCGGACUGAAGAAUUUUUAUAGUAGUUGAAAAUUGAUUUUGUACUAGAGCUAAAAAUAGUUUGAACAUGGAAUAUACUUCUAAUUUAUGACGCAGGAAAUAAACCCAUGUAUAUCUGUUGUAGUCAUCGAUAAAGGUCACAAUAUAUUUGUAUUGGACAUGAGAGAUGGUAGGACUAAUACCCCAAACAUCACCAUGAAUUAUCUCAAAGCUUAUGUUGCUCUACUACCUUCAGAUGGAAAGGGUAAAAUCUUACUUUUGCUAAGUUUACAAGUUGCAUAAUCAAGAAACAUAUUGGGAGAAGAAUGCACUUGAUUAUUAAACAGACCAGAUUUCAACAAAUAAGAUAGAAUCCUAGAGUUAGGAUGACCAAGACGCUUAUGCCAUUACUUCAUUUGACACUUUAGAGCUAUUACUAAGUAAAGCUAAUACUAGGGAAGAAGAUAAGUUGUGCGAAAUAGGUAGUUUCAAAGAAAAUAGACGUCCAUGCUUAGGCCCUUCGCUAUCAACUGCUCUGACAUCUGAUCCUGCACAACGCAACCAUCAUGAGUAAAAUGGACAUCAUAAUUUUGGUCCAUAAGUUGACCAACAGAUACUAAAUUUGUAAAGAGAUUAGGUGGUACAAAAA